CGAAGGGAAAGGUUUCUCAUCUGUAGGAUGGAAAGAAUACGUAAAUUUUUACUUGGUUGGUAGCGGUUGCGAAUUUUUUUUUUUUUUUUCACUUUUAUUGUGACGUUGUUAUAAGAAAGGAUUUAUUCUUGUACUUUUUGUAUCAUGGUCUAUAGAGGGUAUAUAAGUAUUUUUUGUUCCUGAAAGUUGUGGAGAUACUAUUUCUACUUUGUUGGAUCUUAGUUGUUAUGAGAUCUUUUUUCUUUAACGUUGCAAUGUUAAAAGUAAGGAGGUAGUAGUUGUGACAUGUAAUCGAAACAGCUGAUAGCUGGUUAAGAGGGAAAUGCGCUUGAGUGCAUUGUGUUAAGAUGAAUAUGUUUUCAAUUAUUGUGGUUGAAAAUUUUAUAAUUCACCAAAAGCUUUUGGGGGAUAAGCUCUGGAGGAAAAUAGAUUGAAGACUUGUAGUGUUAAGUAGGAAUAAUAUUUUCCAACUUUAAGAAUUUUUGUCUAAAGUUGCACUAUUGUUUUUUGUAUGUUGUAGUACCUCUUUCCUGUAAGAUAAUUUUUCUAUGGGAAUUAGUAUAGAAUUAGUAUAUUUGUUAGAUAUAUUUUGAUGUAGGCAAAAAGAUGUCUUGGAUUAGUUUUUGUUUAUGAAGGUUUUUAUUGUUUUUGAAAUACGUAGCCAAGGAACUCGGCAAAUAUUUUCUCCGCUUGUUUAAUAAAAACAUCGCUCUUAGGUAAAUAAAAUUAUUAGGAGUCGGGCCUGCUCGGUGAUUAAUUUUUAACAGCUGCUAUGAGUAAUAGUACUAAGGUAGCGCAAUAAAUUGUCUUUUAAUUGGGGAAGGGAAUGAAUGGUUUGACGUGAGAGAGCCUGUCUCCGGUUGCGUUUGUAGAAGUUUACUUCUAGGUGAAAAGGCCUAGAUUUGAUAAAAAGACGAGAAGACCCCGUUGAGCUUGAUAGGGGCUUUUUAUUGUUUUGAUGGAUAGUUUUAAGUUUUACUGGGGCAGUAGAGAGAAAAUUUAACUUUCUUUUUUGUUUGUAUGGAUCCUUUAGUAAAGAAUGAAGGAAAAGCUACCACGGGGAUAACAGCGUAAUUUUUCUGGAUAGAACUUAUUGAAGGAAAAGUCUUCGACCUCGAUGUUGAAUUAAGGUAUCUCCCGGGUGUAGCCGCUUGGGUAGUAGGUCUGUUCGCCCUUUAAAACCUUACAUGAUUUGAGUUUAGGCCGGCGUGAGCUAGGUCGGAUUCUAUCUUUUUUUAGAAGCUUCUUUGUACGAAAGGAUCAGAAGGUUAAUGUAAAGUGUGAGCAUUUUAUUUAAUUGAAUU
rnacentral:rRNA from 1 species